rnacentral:rRNA from 1 species
AUUGAACGCUGGCGGCAGGCCUAACACAUGCAAGUCGAGCGGAUGAAGGGAGCUUGCUCCUGGAUUCAGCGGCGGACGGGUGAGUAAUGCCUAGGAAUCUGCCUGGUAGUGGGGUAUAACGUCCGGAAACGGGCGCUAAUACCGCAUACGUCCUGAGGGAGAAAGUGGGGGACCUUCGGACCUCACGCUAUCAGAUGAGCCUAGGUCGGAUUAGCUAGUUGGUGGGGUAAAGGCCUACCAAGGCGACGAUCCGUAACUGGUCUGAGAGGAUGAUCAGUCACACUGGAACUGAGACACGGUCCAGACUCCUACGGGAGGCAGCAGUGGGGAAUAUUGGACAAUGGGCGAAAGCCUGAUCCAGCCAUGCCGCGUGUGUGAAGAAGGUCUUCGGAUUGUAAAGCACUUUAAGUUGGGAGGAAGGGCAGUAAGUUAAUACCUUGCUGUUUUGACGUUACCAACAGAAUAAGCACCGGCUAACUUCGUG